rnacentral:lncRNA from 1 species
GUGUCGAUCACACUGGGAGCUGCAGACCGGAGCUGUUCGUAUUCGGCCAUCUUGGAAGCCCAGCAAAGACAGAGAGAAGAUAUUCCUGAUCUGACUCAUAGGGGACCUCAUAGAAUUCUGCCAACUAACUCAAGUGGUGGUCACAGGUUGGCAGCAUCUUCCGACUGAGAUGUGCAAUCUAAUCUAGAGUGGGAAGGAUUCCUUUAAACAGAAUUGAAGAAGGAAGAACCUAUACUAGAAGUGAAUAAUAAUAGCCCAAGCAGAGUGCUAAGGGGAGAGUGCUGGAACCUAUAAGAAAGUUAAUUGGAAGGAUCUAUGAUACACACAGAAAGAAAGUAAGAAGAAGCUGGCAAAGAUCAAACCCUGAGAGACUUCGUAUUCUGUGGAAAAGACAGAUUCUUCAGUGAUAUUCCAGAAGAAGGCAUUGUUAUUAUACAAGAAGAAAGCUCCACAAAUGUGAUUACCCCUGAAGAUCUUCUUGUGGGACAAGAUGUGAAGAGGGAAGGCAGUUAUAUUGAAUAUCUUGAACCUGUGUAGGCCUAAACUACUAUGUGU